CCUACGGGUGGCAGCAGUCGAGAAUCAUUCACAAUGGGGGAAACCCUGAUGGUGCGACGCCGCGUGGGGGAAUGAAGGUCUUCGGAUUGUAAACCCCUGUCAUGUGGGGGCAAAUUAAAAAGAUAGUACCACAAGAGGAAUAGACGGCUAACUCUGUGCCAGCAGCCGCGGUAAUACAGAGGUCUCAAGCGUUGUUCGGAAUCACUGGGCGUAAAGGGUGCGGAGGCGGUUUCGUAUGUCGGGUGUGAAAGGCUCGGGCUCAACCCGCGAACGGCAGAUGAUACUGGGAGACUAGAGAAAAGGAGGGGGAGCCGGAAUGCUUGGUGUAGCAGUGAAAUGCGUAGAGAUC
rnacentral:rRNA from 1 species